UACAGAGGGUGCGAGCGUUGUCCGGAAUCACUGGGCGUAAAGGGCGCGUAGGCGGCCUGAUAAGUAGGGGGUGAAAUCCUGUGGCUUAACUGCAGGGCUGCCUCCUAGACUGUUAGGCUCGAGCACGGUAGAGGCAGAUGGAAUUCCCGGUGUAGCGGUGGAAUGCGUAGAUAUCAGGAGGAACACCGGUGGCGAAGGCGGGAUCUCUGGGCCUUACCUGACGCUGGAGGCGCGAAAGCUAGGGGAGCGAACAGG
rnacentral:rRNA from 1 species